rnacentral:rRNA from 1 species
UCGACCUCACAUCAGGCGAGACAACCCCCUG